rnacentral:rRNA from 1 species
GGUGGAGCGAUCUGUCUGGUUUAUUCCGAUAACGAAUGAGACUCUGGCCAACUAACUAGUGACAGAAUUAUUGCUGUUCUGGUUACUUCUUAGAGGGACAAGUGGUGUUCAGCCACACGAAAUUGAGCAAUAACAGGUCUGUGAUGCCCUUAGAUGUCCGGGUUGCAUGCAUGCUACACUGGAGGAAACAGCAUGCAAAACCAUUGCCAAGAGGCAUUGGUAAACCCUAGAAAAUCUUCCGUGAUCGGGAUCGGGAAUUGCAAUUAUUUCCCUUGAACGACUAAUUCCCAGUAAAUGUGGGUCAUUCAGCUCGCGCUGAAUACGUCCCUGCCCUUUGUAC